rnacentral:rRNA from 1 species
UACGUAGGUGGCAAGCGUUAUCCGGAAUUAUUGGGCGUAAAGCGCGCGCAGGUGGUUUCUUAAGUCUGAUGUGAAAGCCCACGGCUCAACCGUGGAGGGUCAUUGGAAACUGGGAGACUUGAGUGCAGAAGAGGAAAGUGGAAUUCCAAGUGUAGCGGUGAAAUGCGUAGAGAUUUGGAGGAACACCAGUGGCGAAGGCGACUGUCUGGUCUGUAACUGACACUGAGGCUCGAAAGCGUGGGUAGCAAACAGG